AGCGAACGCUGGCGGCAGGCCUAACACAUGCAAGUCGAACGAACUCUUCGGAGUUAGUGGCGGACGGGUGAGUAACACGUGGGAACGUGCCUUUUGGUUCGGAAUAACUCAGGGAAACUUGUGCUAAUACCGAAUGUGCCCUUCGGGGGAAAGAUUUAUCGCCAUUAGAGCGGCCCGCGUCUGAUUAGCUAGUUGGUGAGGUAACGGCUAACCAAGGCGACGAUCAGUAGCUGGUCUGAGAGGAGGACCAGCCACACUGGGACUGAGACACGGCCCAGACUCCUACGGGAGGCAGCAGUGGGGAAUCUUGCGCAAGGGGCGAAAGCCUGACGCAGCCAUGCCGCGUGAAUGAUGAAGGUCUUAGGAUUGUAAAAUUCUUUCACCGGGGACGAUAAUGACGGUACCCGGAGAAGAAGCCCCGGCUAACUUCGUG
rnacentral:rRNA from 1 species